rnacentral:rRNA from 1 species
UACGGAGGGGGCCAGCGUUGUUCGGAAUCAUUGGGCGUAAAGGGCGCGUAGGCGGCCUGCUAAGUCGAACGUGAAAUCCCUGGGCUCAACCCAGGAACUGCGUCCGAUACUGGUUGGCUUGAAUCCGGGAGAGGGAUGUGGAAUUCCAGGUGUAGCGGUGAAAUGCGUAGAUAUCUGGAGGAACACCGGUGGCGAAGGCGACAUCCUGGACCGGUAUUGACGCUGAGGCGCGAAAGCCAGGGGAGCAAACGGG